GGCGAACGGGUGAGUAUCACGUGGGUAAUCUGCCCUGCACUCUGGGAUAAGCCUGGGAAACUGGGUCUAAUACUGGAUAUGACCUUUCUCCUUAUGGGGUUUGGUGGAAAGUUUUUCGGUGUAGGAUGAGCCCGCGGCCUAUCAGCUUGUUGGUGGGGUGAUGGCCUACCAAGGCGACGACGGGUAGCCGGCCUGAGAGGGUGAUCGGCCACAUUGGGACUGAGAUACGGCCCAG
rnacentral:rRNA from 1 species